rnacentral:rRNA from 1 species
AUUGAACGCUGGCGGCAGGCCUAACACAUGCAAGUCGAGCGGAUGAAGGGAGCUUGCUCCUGGAUUCAGCGGCGGACGGGUGAGUAAUGCCUAGGAAUCUGCCUGGUAGUUGGGGAUAACGUCCGGAAACGGGCGCUAAUACCGCAUACGUCCUGAGGGAGAAAGUGGGGGAUCUUCGGACCUCACGCUAUCAGAUGAGCCUAGGUCGGAUUAGCUAGUUGGUGGGGUAAAGGCCUACCAAGGCGACGAUCCGUAACUGGUCUGAGAGGAUGAUCAGUCACACUGGAACUGAGACACGGUCCAGACUCCUACGGGAGGCAGCAGUGGGGAAUAUCGGACAAUGGGCGAAAGCCUGAUCCAGCCAUGCCGCGUGUGUGAAGAAGGUCUUCGGAUUGUAAAGCACUUUAAGUUGGGAGGAAGGGCAGUAAGUUAAUACCUUGCUGUUUUGACGUUACCAACAGAAUAAGCACCGGCUAACUUCGUG